GACGAACGCUGGCGGCGUGCUUAACACAUGCAAGUCGAACGGUAAGGCCCUUCGGGGUACACGAGUGGCGAACGGGUGAGUAACACGUGGGUGAUCUGCCCUGCACUUCGGGAUAAGCCUGGGAAACUGGGUCUAAUACCGGAUAGGACUCCUGGCUUCAUGGUUGGGGGUGGAAAGCUUUUGCGGUUGGGGAUGAGCCCGCGGCCUAUCAGCUUGUUGGUGGGGUAAUGGCCUACCAAGGCGACGACGGGUAGCCGGCCUGAGAGGGUGACCGGUCACACUGGGACUGAGAUACGGCCCAGACUCCUACGGGAGGCAGCAGUGGGGAAUAUUGCACAAUGGGCGCAAGCCUGAUGCAGCGACGCCGCGUGAGGGAUGACGGCCUUCGGGUUGUAAACCUCUUUCAGCUAUGACGAAGCGCAAGUGACGGUAGUAGCAGAAGAAGGACCGGCCAACUACGUGCCAGCCGCCGCCGUAA
rnacentral:rRNA from 1 species